GCGUCUUUAGCACAGCGGAUAGUGCAUCCGGCUACGAACCGGAAGGUCGAAGGUUCGAAUCCUUUAAGGCGCACCA
rnacentral:tRNA from 2 species